rnacentral:rRNA from 1 species
AAAUUGAAGAGUUUGAUCAUGGCUCAGAUUGAACGCUGGCGGCAGGCCUAACACAUGCAAGUCGAACGGUAACAGGAAGCAGCUUGCUGCUUCGCUGACGAGUGGCGGACGGGUGAGUAAUGUCUGGGAAACUGCCUGAUGGAGGGGGAUAACUACUGGAAACGGUGGCUAAUACCGCAUAACGUCGCAAGACCAAAGAGGGGGACCUUCGGGCCUCUUGCCAUCAGAUGUGCCCAGAUGGGAUUAGCUUGUUGGUGAGGUAACGGCUCACCAAGGCGACGAUCCCUAGCUGGUCUGAGAGGAUGACCAGCCACACUGGAACUGAGACACGGUCCAGACUCCUACGGGAGGCAGCAGUGGGGAAUAUUGCACAAUGGGCGCAAGCCUGAUGCAGCCAUGCCGCGUGUAUGAAGAAGGCCUUCGGGUUGUAAAGUACUUUCAGCGGGGAGGAAGGUGUUGUGGUUAAUAACCGCAGCAAUUGACGUUACCCGCAGAAGAAGCACCGGCUAACUCCGUGCCAGCAGCCGCGGUAAUACGGAGGGUGCAAGCGUUAAUCGGAAUUACUGGGCGUAAAGCGCACGCAGGCGGUCUGUCAAGUCGGAUGUGAAAUCCCCGGGCUCAACCUGGGAACUGCAUUCGAAACUGGCAGGCUUGAGUCUUGUAGAGGGGGGUAGAAUUCCAGGUGUAGCGGUGAAAUGCGUAGAGAUCUGGAGGAAUACCGGUGGCGAAGGCGGCCCCCUGGACAAAGACUGACGCUCAGGUGCGAAAGCGUGGGGAGCAAACAGGAUUAGAUACCCUGGUAGUCCACGCCGUAAACGAUGUCUACUUGGAGGUUGUGCCCUUGAGGCGUGGCUUCCGGAGCUAACGCGUUAAGUAGACCGCCUGGGGAGUACGGCCGCAAGGUUAAAACUCAAAUGAAUUGACGGGGGCCCGCACAAGCGGUGGAGCAUGUGGUUUAAUUCGAUGCAACGCGAAGAACCUUACCUGGUCUUGACAUCCACAGAAGAAUCCAGAGAUGGAUUUGUGCCUUCGGGAACUGUGAGACAGGUGCUGCAUGGCUGUCGUCAGCUCGUGUUGUGAAAUGUUGGGUUAAGUCCCGCAACGAGCGCAACCC